rnacentral:sRNA from 1 species
GGAGGUGUUGGCCGGGGACCUGCGGUUCUCCAAGCUGAGCCUGGAGGACUCGGGCAUGUACCAGUGUGUGGCAGAGAAUAAGCAUGGUACCAUCUACGCCAGCGCCGAGCUAGCCGUGCAAGCACUCGCCCCUGACUUCAGGCUGAAUCCCGUGAGGCGUCUGAUCCCCGCGGCCCGCGGGGGAGAGAUCGUUAUCCCCUGCCAGCCCCGGGCAGCUCCAAAGGCCGUGGUGCUCUGGAGCAAAGGCACGGAGAUUUUGGUCAACAGCAGCAGAGUGACUGUAACUCCAGAUGGCACCUUGAUCAUAAGAAACAUCAGCCGGUCAGAUGAAGGCAAAUACACCUGCUUUGCUGAGAACUUCAUGGGCAAAGCCAACAGCACUGGAAUCCUAUCUGUGCGAGAUGCAACCAAAAUCACUCUAGCCCCCUCAAGUGCCGACAUCAACUUGGGUGACAACCUGACCCUACAGUGCCAUGCCUCCCACGACCCCACCAUGGACCUCACCUUCACCUGGACCCUGGACGACUUCCCCAUCGACUUUGAUAAGCCUGGAGGGCACUACCGGAGAACUAAUGUGAAGGAGACCAUUGGGGAUCUGACCAUCCUGAAUGCCCAGCUGCGCCAUGGGGGGAAGUACACAUGCAUGGCCCAGACGGUGGUGGACAGCGCGUCCAAGGAGGCCACAGUCCUGGUCCGAGGUCCGCCAGGUCCCCCAGGAGGUGUGGUGGUGAGGGACAUUGGCGACACCACCAUCCAGCUCAGCUGGAGCCGUGGCUUCGACAACCACAGCCCCAUCGCUAAGUACACCCUGCAAGCUCGCACUCCACCUGCAGGGAAGUGGAAGCAGGUUCGGACCAAUCCUGCAAACAUCGAGGGCAAUGCCGAGACUGCACAGGUGCUGGGCCUCACCCCCUGGAUGGACUAUGAGUUCCGGGUCAUAGCCAGCAACAUUCUGGGCACUGGGGAGCCUAGUGGGCCCUCCAGCAAAAUCCGGACCAGGGAAGCAGCCCCCUCGGUGGCACCCUCAGGACUCAGCGGAGGAGGUGGAGCCCCCGGAGAGCUCAUCGUCAACUGGACGCCCAUGUCACGGGAGUACCAGAACGGAGACGGCUUCGGCUACCUGCUGUCCUUCCGCAGGCAGGGCAGCACUCACUGGCAGACCGCCCGGGUGCCUGGCGCCGAUGCCCAGUACUUUGUCUACAGCAACGAGAGCGUCCGGCCCUACACGCCCUUUGAGGUCAAGAUCCGCAGCUACAACCGCCGCGGGGAUGGGCCCGAGAGCCUCACUGCACUCGUGUACUCAGCUGAGGAAGAGCCCAGGGUGGCCCCUACCAAGGUGUGGGCCAAAGGGGUCUCAUCCUCAGAGAUGAACGUGACCUGGGAACCCGUGCAGCAGGACAUGAAUGGUAUCCUCCUGGGGUAUGAGAUCCGCUACUGGAAAGCUGGGGACAAAGAAGCAGCUGCGGACCGAGUGAGGACAGCAGGGCUGGACACCAGUGCCCGAGUCAGCGGCCUGCAUCCCAACACCAAGUACCAUGUGACCGUGAGGGCCUACAACCGGGCUGGCACUGGGCCUGCCAGCCCUUCUGCCAACGCCACGACCAUGAAGCCCCCUCCGCGGCGACCUCCUGGCAACAUCUCCUGGACUUUCUCAAGCUCCAGUCUUAGCAUUAAGUGGGACCCUGUGGUCCCUUUCCGAAAUGAGUCUGCAGUCACCGGCUAUAAGGUGAGGAAGCAAUCAGCUAGGCCCAGAAUGGGAAGGAACAGCUCCUCUGUGUUUCCAGUGAACAUAAGCAGCAGCAAUUUAUAGCAAGAGGCAUCUGAGUGAGACAUAAGCAAAGGGUUUGUGACUGUGAGAGGAAUGAAAUUCAUGAACUAUUCUCUCAGUAACUUGCAGUAGAAACUAUAAAAACGGGCAGAUGGUAUCACUGCAGAAAGGCAGAGUUCACAGGGGCAGUGAUGGACUAUGGGGAUGGAGUAUGGGGGUUCUUCUAGCUUAAGGAGUCUAUGGAAACAGUUCAGUGGCCUGCAAGCUUUCCUCCACCAAUGAGGAGCUUUGUCAAUGGGGAGGAGGGGUGAGGAGGCUGGACCUCAAGAGCCCAGAACCAUCGGGUCUCCUCCCAGUACCUAAAGCUGGGGAUGACUCAACGAUCAGCCCCGGUGUCAGGAAACUCCACCUGGAAACCUCCUUCCCACAGAUGCUGUACCAGAAUGACUUACACCUGACUCCCACGCUCCACCUCACCGGCAAGAACUGGAUAGAAAUCCCAGUGCCUGAAGACAUUGGCCAUGCCCUGGUACAAAUUCGGACCACAGGGCCCGGAGGGGAUGGGAUCCCUGCAGAAGUCCACAUCGUGAGGAAUGGAGGUGCUGCUCCUCCCCUACCCUUAUCCCCUCGAGAGAUUCAGGAUCCACCCAGAUACCUGAGAGGAUCAUUCCCACCCAGGCCAACUCCAAUCUCUACCCGCAAAGGAAAGUGGAAGGCAGGCAGGAACCAAGUGCAAAGUAGUCUUAGAACUGCCUCGCCGCCACCUUUCUACCCAGCCCCCAGAACAUCCCCGAGGGCCAGGGAAGGGAGCAGGGUGCAGGGGGAGGCUGAGGACCAACCAGCAAUAGCAAAGGGCCUACAAAGCACCGUAGGAGUCGGACUGAGAAGACCACCCAGCUGUCCGCUCCCAGGCCUGCAGCUGGCCCUGUGAGUCUCCUUAGGAAAGGUCUCAAUCUUGCCACAAGGGUGGGGCUAGGGUAGUCCCAGGCCCAGCUGACUCAGCUUGUGCUGGUUUCAGGCACAAGCAUGAUGGUGGAGAACAUGGCAGUCCGCCCAGCACCACACCCUGGCACCGUCAUUUCCCACUCCGUGGCGAUGCUGAUCCUCAUAGGCUCCCUGGAGCUCUGAUCCUGGAACCCCUCCCUCUGCGCCGCAGCUGGACGCCACCUCCGACGGACACAGCCAGCCCCUUCCUGCUGCCAAGGUGGCCUGACACUGUGCCAGAGAGUGGCUGGUUUUAAAUACCUACUUUAAACAGUGCCCUUUUUGUAGGAGGUAGGAUAUUUUAUAUUCUGCCGCAGGAUAGAACCCACGCAAGGAUUUUCUUUAAAUUGAGAGGCACCAGGCAGUAACUUCCAUGAUGACACUGACGCCUAUACCUGAGCUCUAGGCUGCCUGGAGGGAAGGAACAGGCCCAUGGGAAGAAGGGGGUUUUAAAAACAUGUCUUCAACUCAGCAGAGAUGGAAUUCUGGGACCCUAUACGGACUCCGCCACUUGAGAGCAGUCCUAGGCCCGGCAGGAACACCAGACAUGAACAGGUUGAAGAACUGGAGCGAAGUGCACACCUCACCAUCUUUCAGUCUAAGGAAGAAGGGCAAGCCCUGGGACCAAGAACUCUCCUGCCUUCUCCCUUGAGCAGCAGCAAGGACCCUGACGCUGUCCCCGAUAACUCCCUAGGGGCUCCUGCCUGCCCAAGCGGCUGAGAACCAGCGCCCCGAUGCCUGAGGCUGGGAGCCUGAGCCCCUUCAGCUUUGAGGGGGGUGAUACUCCAGGCUGUUUGGGGUGGGAGCCAAAAAAAGUUGAGAGGCCAGGGCCCUUGGUGGAAAGGGGCACCAGCCUUGGUCUGAGAUAGUCACAACCCAGGUGACGAUGCCCUCUCAGCCAACACUGCCAACCUGACCCUGUCAUCCCGAUUGACAGCGCCACUUCAGGUGGCUGGGUGACUAAAGGGCUUGUCUUGGUGGGGUCUCCCACCCCUCCAAGACCCAUUCUGCACAGUCCCUCCAGGGUUUGGGCAGGAGAUGGCCAAUCAUGCGCCCACCUCUCCCUCCAGUGCUGCCUGCAGUCAGCUCGGCCUCCCCGACCUGCAGCCCCAGACUCUGCUCUCCCAGCACUGACUCACUCCUGCCUGGGAGGGGAAUGCAGCAUUCAUGCUGUGUGUCCUGGUAUUGGGAGGUUUCUGGGAAGGGCAGAGGAUAAAUGUGGCCCUGCCUGCUCCCAGGUAUACCUAGGACCACCUGGCCAGAUCCGCUCCCAGACGGCCUUGGACUGCUUGCAUUUCCCCGGAGAAAAAGGGGUUA